AGACGCUUAAAUCCGAAGGAUGAUGCCAAAUUUUACAUUGAUACUGGAGGGGACAAAGUGGGACUUGAUGUCAAAUACAUCAAUGCCUUCAAAGGUCGCGGCAUCUUCACCUCGGCUCCAUUUGAUAAAGGAGACUUUCUGUUAGAAUAUAGAGGUGAACUAAUAAACCAUAAAGAAUGUCAGAGGAGACAGAGCCUUUACCAUGACCACCUUAAGGUGUUCAUGUUCGAGUUCCAUUUUAAUGGAAAACUAUGGUGGUGCGUAUCAUGUCAAUGCUUAGUCUAAUUAAACGACACAUUGCCUUUAUUUUAUAUAUUUACUCUUGUGAAACUAAUGUUUACUUGUGUUUUUGUAGUGUUGAUGCAGCAAAAGAGGAUAGGUCUCUUGGAAGGCUUGUAAAUGACGAUAAUGUAAACCCCAAUGCCAAGAUGAAGUACCUAAACAUCCAAGGGAAGCCCCAUCUGUGUUUGUUUGCAGCACGAGACAUCAGUCAAGGAGAGGAGAUCACCUAUAAUUAUGGUGACUCUGACUGGCCAUGGCGAUGCAAGAUGAUCACUGCGAAUGAGCUGAUGGAGUCUGCUGCAAGUGACAAGGCCAACAAGAUUGAGACCUCUGUGGAUGGCCUGAGUCCAACAUGUCCACAACAUAGUCCCCCCAAAAGGGUUGAAAAGGUAAACUAAGUCUAAAUUGAAUUAGUUGUGAAAAGGCAUUGAAUCAUGUUUCAUGUGUGUGUGCAGUUGCCUCAUUAAAACCCUAAAUAUUCUCUGUAAUGGUACAUUUACACAUUGUGUGU